GUGUGUGUGGAGGGAGACAGAGCAAACUCUUUGGUGUCUGUUCUUAUAAGGACACUAGUCCUAUUGGAUCAGGGCCUUAUCCUCAUGACCUCAUUUAACCUCAGUUAAUUCCUUAGAGGCACCAUAUCCAAAUACAGCCACACUGGGGCUUAGGGAUUCAGCAUAGGAAUUGGGGCGCAGACAGAAUCAUCCAGUCAGUGACAAAGAGUAAUGGUCAUGAUAUGAAAAUAGCUUCCCAUGCUCUUGAUUUGAGUGGGGGUUAAAGAACCCUUUCUCCACUCCUUGGGUUGAUGGAUAAAAAGGAAUAUGCGCAGGAUCUCAAUUUCUAUUCCCCACUCUGUCCAAGCUUCAACCACUUUUUGUUUGUUUGUUUGUCAAAGACCCCAAACUGUGGUUUUCACCAGUGGCAUCUCUGACUUUUGAUGUCAAGAUCCCUCCAAACCUAAUGAAGAUUUAAAAAUAUAUCUAAUGUCAGCAUGUUGAGCAGAAUGCUGCCUAUGUGCCCUGUAUCCCCAGAGUCAGAAGAAUAAACAUAUUUUUGUGACUUGUUCAUAUUUAAUUUUAAAAAAGAUAAAAUCACAGGCCCUGAAAAUAGAUAAAUUUAUAAGCUAUCAAAAAUAAAAUGUUAACUCAUGACAAAGCAAUGCAAAUGUUUAUGCCAAAGCCAAAUAUUCAUUAUUUUAUCCCCUCAUCUUUCCGUCUCUCUGUCUCUCUCUCUCUCUCUCUAUCAAGGUCCGGCAGGGCUGAAUAUACACACACAUCUCCAGUAUGUGUGGAAAUACAUCAAAUAAGUCUACAGUCUUUUUAGUUGAUUCACAACAUAUAUACAAACCAAUCCAAACCAACUACUGUGAUUCAACUCCAGGACUAGAAGUGAUAAAUUGCAGGACCUAUGUGGGUGUGGAUAGAAGCAUCCCGAAGGAUCCCACAAUUUCACAGCAGCAGAGGCAGUGCUGACCCUGGAAGUGACUGAGAGGUGAGUCGUGGGAGGAGCUUUCGGAACAAACGGCCAAUGCUCAGGGUUUACACUGGCAGCACAGGAGGCUGUCACCCUACAAAAGAGCUUUGUUAAGCCAAAUCUUUAAUUCCAAGAGGAGUGCCUAAUUUACACCCCACAGCAGGCUGGGUAUUUUGCAUCUGCUAUUUUUACAACAUUUCUGAGGUAACCAUUUGUUAUUGUCGUUACCAAUGGAAAAUCGAAAGCUGGCUUUUUCCCCACCCUGUAGUAACCUCCCAGUAUUUUGUCGUCCUCACUCUGCUUGAGAUUAGAAAAAUCAACAACGUGAUUCCAAAACCUAAUGAAUAGACAACUCUAAGGAAUGUAUGUGAUGUUUUUUCACCAAGUAUAUAUUCAAGUAGUAAAUUCUGUGAUGUUCCCUCCAUCAGUGGUGCAUAACCCUGUGCUUUCCUUAAUAGGAUUUAUGCUUGUCGGCUUUCUACAUGCCCCGCCAUGCUAGAUAAAGGGGAGGCAGAGUUCCCGUGGUAACCAUAGCCACUCCACUCGCCACCGUUGGCAAAUUCCUCCUAAGCAUAAAAUAGGCAAUAUGAGGGGAGAUUCUGUCCGCUUAUACAUAAACAUGACAGACUCCUAUCUGGAAGCCAAAGAUAUCCAGCCUCAGAUUGAAUUUAGAUUUUCUGAUUGUUGGGCCAGAUACUUCUAUUAAAUCUUCCCUUUGAAACAUCUGCAACUGGGAAACAAGAAAAUCUUAAUUCUUUCCAGAUCCAAACCCACUUCCAGUCAAAUGUCACUCAGACUCCAUGGAGGAUGGAGGAAGCAGAAUUCUUUAUGCAUCUGCUCAAAUUGAAAAGGUUAUUUCACUGUCUUCAAGAUGACUCUUGAGCUGCUGGCAGAGCUGAGGGCUGUGCCCUGAAUGCAGGGGUUGCUAGGAGAUAAGUCUAGCUUUCAGACGGCAUUGGUUGGAGUUAUCUCUAAUUGACAGCUCCUUACCCUAAGGGUCUAAUUCUAACCUUGAGACCAAGACUAUAAUGAGAGGGCAGCUUGCCCUCACCCCUGUUCCUGGCUAAGGCAAGGAGAUUACUGGCAGCCUGUUUUCCUGGGGUUUUGUUAUGCUUCUUUAGGACAGAGGCACCGACGGAGACACAGCGGCUGCUGUCUGUGGCUCCAGUUUGCAUCACUGGGGGCUUGUUUGAUUCAUGCCACCUGAAUAAACGUUCUCUUUCAGUUAAGAUGGUCUCCCUU
rnacentral:lncRNA from 1 species